rnacentral:rRNA from 1 species
UACGUAGGGUGCGAGCGUUGUCCGGAAUUACUGGGCGUAAAGAGCUCGUAGGUGGUUUGUCGCGUUGUUCGUGAAAUCCCACGGCUUAACUGUGGGCGUGCGGGCGAUACGGGCAGACUGGAGUACUGCAGGGGAGACUGGAAUUCCUGGUGUAGCGGUGGAAUGCGCAGAUAUCAGGAGGAACACCGGUGGCGAAGGCGGGUCUCUGGGCAGUAACUGACGCUGGAGGAGCGAAAGCAUGGGGAGCGAACAGG